AGCUACUAAGAGCGAAUGGUGGAUGCCUUGGUUGGUAGAGGCGAUGAAAGACGUGCUAGACUGCGAUAAGUCUCGGGGAGUUGUCAAGGAGCUUUGAUCCGGGAAUUUCUGAAUGGGGAAACCCAGUAUAUAGUGAUAUAUACUACCUAUAUGGAGCAAACGUGGGGAAUUGAAACAUCUUAGUACCCACAGGAAAAGAAAUCAAAUGAGAUUACGAAAGUAGCGGCGAGCGAAAUCGUAAAAGGGCAAACCACUAGUUUACUAGUGGGGUUGUAGGACUGUAACAUAGACUAAAAAGAGUUAAUAGAAUAAUCUGGAAAGUUUAAGCAUAGAGGGUGAUACUCCCGUAUAUGAAAACUCUUUUUUACUUAACAGUAUCCUGAGUAGGGCGAGGCACGUGAAACCUUGUCUGAAUCUGGGAAGACCACUUUCCAACCCUAAAUACUACUACCAAACCGAUAGUGAACAAGUACCGUGAGGGAAAGGUGAAAAGAACGGGGGUGACCCGAGUGAAAUAGAACCUGAAACCAUUUGCUUACAAUCAUUCAGAGCACGAUUCUUUAUGACGUGUGAUGGACUGCCUUUUGCAUAAUGAGCCUGCGAGUUGUGAUAUCUGGCAAGGUUAAGGAAAUCCGGAGCCGUAGCGAAAGCAAGUCUUAAUAGGGCGUUUAGUCAGAUAUUGCAGACCCGAAACGAAGUGAUCUAUCCAUGAGCAGGUUGAAACCGGUGUAAGAGCCGGCGGAGGACCGAACCCGCUGACGUUGAAAAGUCUUGGGAUGACUUGUGGAUAGGGGUGAAAGGCCAAUCAAACUUCGUGAUAGCUGGUUCUCUCCGAAAUAUAUUUAGGUAUAGCGUUAUGUAGUAAUUAGAGGGGGUAGAGCACUGAAUGGGCUAGGGCAUACACCAAUGUACCAAACCCUAUCAAACUCCGAAUACCUUUAAUGUAAUCAUAGCAGUCAGGCGGCGAGUGAUAAAAUCCGUCGUCAAAAGGGGAACAACCCAGACUACCGACUAAGGUCCCAAAAUCUUAUUUAAGUGGAAAACGAUGUGAAGUUACUUAAACAACCAGGAGGUUGGCUUAGAAGCAGCCAUCCUUUAAAGAUAGCGUAAUAGCUCACUGGUCUAGUGAUUUUGCGCGGAAAAUAUAACGGGGCUAAAAUAAGUACCGAAGUCGUAGACUUAGUUUUACUAAGUGGUAGGAGAGCGUUGUAUUUAGCGUUGAAGAUGUACCGGUAAGGAGCGUUGGAGCAAAUACAAGUGAGCAUGCAGGCAUGAGUAGCGUUAAAUCAGGUGAGAAUCCUGAUCGCCGAAAACCCAAGGUUUCCUACGCGAUGCUCGUCAUCGUAGGGUUAGUCGGGUCCUAAGCAAAGUCCGAAAGGGGUAUGCGAUGGAAAAUUGGUUAAUAUUCCAAUACCAAUUAUUAUGUGCGAUGGAAGGACGCUUAAAGUUAGUGGAGCUAACUGAUGGAAUAGUUAGUCUAAGGUCGUAGGUUGAGUUAUAGGCAAAUCCGUAACUCUUUAUCCGAAAGCUUAAAGGCUUACAAAGCUCUUCGGAGUAGCGUAAGAAUCCAUGAUACUAUAGAGCCAAGAAAAGUUUCUAAGUUUAGUAAUAAUUGCCCGUACCGUAAACCGACACAGGUGGGUGGGAUGAGUAUUCUAAGGCGCGUGGAAGAACUCUCUUUAAGGAACUCUGCAAAAUAGCACCGUAUCUUCGGUAUAAGGUGUGCCUACCAGGGUGCAAGCCCUAGAGGUUACAACAAAGAGUCCCUCCCGACUGUUUACCAAAAACACAGCACUCUGCUAACACGUAAGUGGAUGUAUAGGGUGUGACGCCUGCCCGGUGCUCGAAGGUUAAUUGAUGGAGUUAGCAUUAGCAAAGCUCUUGAUCGAAGCCCGAGUAAACGGCGGCCGUAACUAUAACGGUCCUAAGGUAGCGAAAUUCCUUGUCGGUUAAAUACCGACCUGCAUGAAUGGCGUAACGAGAUGGGAGCUGUCUCAAAGAGGGAUCCAGUGAAAUUGUAGUGGAGGUGAAAAUUCCUCCUACCCGCGGCAAGACGGAAAGACCCCGUGGACCUUUACUAUAGCUUGACACUGCUACUUGGAUAAAGAUGUGCAGGAUAGGUGGGAGAUUAUGAUCUAUAGAUGCUAGUCUAUAAGGAGUCAUCCUUGAGAUACCACUCUUCUUUAUUCGGGUAGCUAACUAGCCUAAGUUAUCCUUAGGUAGGACAAUGUCUGGUGGGUAGUUUGACUGGGGCGGUCGCCUCCCAAAUAAUAACGGAGGCUUACAAAGGUUGGUUCAAAACGGUUGGAAAUCGUUUGUAGAGUAUAAAGGCAAAAACCAGCUUAACUGCGACACCGACAAGUGGAGCAGAGACGAAAGUCGGUCUUAGUGAUCCGGUGGUUCUGUGUGGAAGGGCCAUCGCUCAAAGGAUAAAAGGUACCCCGGGGAUAACAGGCUGAUCUCCCCCAAGAGCUCACAUCGACGGGGAGGUUUGGCACCUCGAUGUCGGCUCAUCGCAUCCUGGGGCUGGAGCAGGUCCCAAGGGUAUGGCUGUUCGCCAUUUAAAGCGGUACGCGAGCUGGGUUCAGAACGUCGUGAGACAGUUCGGUCCCUAUCUGCCGUGGGCGUAAGAAGAUUGAGGAGAGUUGACCC
rnacentral:rRNA from 1 species